rnacentral:rRNA from 1 species
ACAAGCGGUGGAGCAUGUGGUUUAAGUUCGACGAUACGCGAAGAACCUUACCCUGGCCUUGACAAUACUAAAAAGACGUUUAAGUAGAUUAGAGUGUGCUAGCUUGCUAGAAUUUAGAUACAGGUGCUGCACGGCUGUCGUCAGCUCGUGUCGUGAGAUGUUGGGUUAAGUCCCGCAACGAGCGCAACCUCGUGUUUAGUUGCUAACAGUUCGGCUGAGAACUCUAAACAGACUGCCUACGCAAGUAGGAGGAAGGUGAGGACGACGUCAAGUCAUCAUGGCCCUUACGGCCAGGGCUACACACGUGCUACAAUGGGGUAUACAAAGAGCAGCGAUACGGUGACGUGGAGCAAAUCUAGAAAAUGCCUCUCAGUUCGGAUUGUAGUCUGCAACUCGACUACAUGAAGUUGGAAUCGCUAGUAAUCGUAGAUCAGCAAUGCUACGGUGAAUACGUUCCCGGGUCUU